UUGUUUUCUUGUGCAUUGCAACUUGAUGUUCCUGUUUAAAAUGUUCUGUGUAAAUUAAUUCUGUUUUGUGUGUGAAUGAGGAAUGUGUGUGUAAAGAGAUAAGUGUGAAGGCCAUCGCUGAGCCAGAUGUAUGAGGGAGGAACCAGAGACAGAUGCAAGGGCACCAGGAGGCUGCAACACGCCCAUGUUGAAAUGUCAGAGGAGGGCAGAUUGAUUACUUUAAAGAUGAGACAGGCACCUAUCAAUAGUGACACGAUAGCUGUGAUAAAGAAUGAGAAGGACAAUUUAAGAAAACAAGCACUUGUCAAACAACAAUUGAUUACAGCAUGAUGGAGCAAAACUCAUUGGUCCCAAUGAAGGAAAAUCACUAUCUAAAUAGGGUGCCUUGCCAUGAAAUUUUGAGUUUAUCCUGCCAAGACUUCCCCGGAUCAUUGUAUCAUGACCGAAGGAACCCGGCUCCUCCCUACCCAUGAUCAACCUAGCUGGCCACUAGUCUGGACUGGAAAAAAUCCCUACAUUUUUCUAGAAGAUGAAACAGAGGUGAAGAAUGGCUCAGUGAUGAGAAUGCUAGCCUGUGACUUUGGAUACAGUUGGGCAGAGAGGACAUAUGAUGGAGCAACCUGCUACUGGAUGAGGAAUGAAUAUUCUUGACAAAUGCAGGGUGGACACAAAGCCCAUCUCCUGGAUUAUUUUACAGAUAUGUUAUCAGAGAGGUGUCUCUUUUAUACUUUGACACCGCAUGGUUUUUAUAGUUUAUCAUUCCAAAAAAAAGUGUCAUUGAUUUGUUCUCAUCUAAGUACCUUUAUGCACAGAGUUAUUGUAACUUAGGUACGUGCACCUCCAGUGGCCAUGAGUCCUCUAUGCAGAUAUUCAUUUCAGUAAUGAUUAUGAUUUUAUAUUGUCACCAAUUAUGCUACAGUAGAUUAAACCAGAUUUGCCACCAUAACAUCAGGAAGAGAGGUCUAAAUUUACCUAUUGUAGCUCAACUCAUCUUAUGAAAACAGUGAACAUAACAUUUCUCCUCUUCCCCUCUUUCCUGGAGAAUACUGAAAGUCUUCUAUUAAUCUGACUCCAAUAGUAUUUUGAAAUACUCUUUUAUCACACCAUCCUUGUUUAGAGGAGUUAGAAAGGGAACAUGUUAAUGUUUAAUGUACUAAUGCUUUUAAUAUGCUUAAAAUGUCUGUGAAACCAAUUAGUUUUUUGCUUUAAAUACAUCCCAUUACCAUUAACCUUCUACAUUUUUUUUUUGUGAUCCAAGUAAAUUCUUUGGCAGCCAUGGGCACAGAGGCCACAAUUAUCACAUGUGGACUGUAGUUCAUUUAUAAAAGCAUUACAGCAUUAUAUAAGCAUUAAAGCCUUCUCCUUACUCUGUAUAUUAAAUGAGGGAAGUCUAUGCCCUUAGAUAAAGAUAUGGGAAAGCUCCUUACUUUGCUUAUUAAUUAUAGGGAAAAUCCUUUCCACUACUCCCUGUAUCAAGUCUAUUUACUACUAGCUGGGCUAAGUUCAGAGUUAUCCCACAGUGGCUCAGGAGAGGGUUUUGUUUUGUUUUUCUUUAUUCCCAAACUUCAUAACA